rnacentral:rRNA from 1 species
UAACCUGCCCAAGAGAUCGGGAUAACACCUGGAAACAGAUGCUAAUACCGGAUAACAACAGAUGAUGCCUAUCAACUGUUUAAAAGAUGGUUCUGCUAUCACUCUUGGAUGGACCUGCGGUGCAUUAGCUAGUUGGUAGGGUAACGGCCUACCAAGGCGAUGAUGCAUAGCCUAGUUGAGAGACUGAUCGGCCACAUUGGGACUGAGACACGGCCCAAACUCCUACGGGAGGCAGCAGCA